GAUGAACGCUGGCGGCGUGCCUAAUACAUGCAAGUCGAGCGAACAGACGAGGAGCUUGCUCCUCUGACGUUAGCGGCGGACGGGUUAGUAACACGUGGAUAACCUACCUAUAAGACUGGGAUAACUUCGGGAAACCGGAGCUAAUACCGGAUAAUAUAUUGAACCGCAUGGUUCAAUAUUUAAAGACGGUUUUGCUGUCACUUAUAGAUGGAUCCGCGCCGCAUUAGCUAGUUGGUAAGGUAACGGCUUACCAAGGCAACGCUGCGUAGCCGACCUGAGAGGGUGAUCGGCCACACUGGAACUGAGACACGGUCCAGACUCCUACGGGAGGCAGCAGUAGGGAAUCUUCCGCAAUGGGCGAAAGAUUGACGGAGAAACGCCGCGUGAGUGAUGAAGGUAUUCGGAUCGUAAAACUCUGUUAUUAGGGAAGAACAAAUGUGUAAGUAACUAUGCACGUCUUGACGGUACCUAAUCAGAAAGCCACGGCUAACUACGUG
rnacentral:rRNA from 1 species